rnacentral:rRNA from 1 species
GAUGAACGCUAGCGGCAGGCCUAACACAUGCAAGUCGAGGGAGGAGCUUUCGGGCUUCGACCGGCGUACGGGUGCGUAACGCGUAUACAAUCUGCCUUUCACAUAGGGAUAGCCCGAAGAAAUUUGGAUUAAUACCUAAUGGCAUAUAGGAGUGGCAUCACAUUUAUAUUAAAGCUGAGGCGGUGAAAGAUGAGUAUGCGUUCUAUUAGCUAGUUGGAGAGGUAACGGCUCCCCAAGGCGACGAUAGAUAGGGGUUCUGAGAGGGAUAUCCCCCACACUGGUACUGAGAUACGGACCAGACUCCUACGGGAGGCAGCAGUGAGGAAUAUUGGACAAUGGUCGGAAGACUGAUCCAGCCAUGCCGCGUGCAGGAAGACGGCCUUAUGGGUUGUAAACUGCUUUUGCAGGGGAAGAAUAAGGACUACGAGUAGUUUGAUGACGGUACUCUGCGAAUAAGCAUCGGCUAACUCCGUG